rnacentral:ribozyme from 1 species
AGAGGUCCUAAGUUUGAGGCCAUAGUAGAAGCAUUCAUAAUGGGGGCCUGUCAGAUUCCAGUGAAUCUGUGAAUUCUGCU